CGCGUAGGCGGACAGUUAAGUCGGGGGUGAAAGCCCGGGGCUCAACCUCGGAAUUGCCUUCGAUACUGGCCGUCUUGAGUGCGGGAGAGGUGUGUGGAACUCCGAGUGUAGAGGUGAAAUUCGUAGAUAUUCGGAAGAACACCAGUGGCGAAGGCGACACACUGGCCCGUUACUGACGCUGAGGCGCGAAAGCGUGGGGAGCAAACAGGAUUAGAUACCCUGGUAGUCCACGCCGUAAACGAUGAGUGCUAGUUGUCGGCAUGCAUGCAUGUCGGUGACGCAGCUAACGCAUUAAGCACUCCGCCUGGGGAGUACGGUCGCAAGAUUAAA
rnacentral:rRNA from 1 species